rnacentral:rRNA from 1 species
UACGUAGGGUGCGAGCGUUGUCCGGAAUUAUUGGGCGUAAAGGGCUCGUAGGCGGUUUGUCGCGUCGGGAGUGAAAACACCGGGCUUAACUCGGUGCUUGCUUUCGAUACGGGCAGACUAGAGGCAUGCAGGGGAGAACGGAAUUCCUGGUGUAGCGGUGAAAUGCGCAGAUAUCAGGAGGAACACCGGUGGCGAAGGCGGUUCUCUGGACAGUUCCUGACGCUGAGGCACGAAGGUCAGGGGAGCAAACGGG